GGCGGACGGGUGAGUAACACGUGGAUAACCUACCUAUAAGACUGGGAUAACUUCGGGAAACCGGAGCUAAUACCGGAUAAUAUUAUGAACCGCAUGGUUCAAAAGUGAAAGACGGUCUUGCUGUCACUUAUAGAUGGAUCCGCGCUGCAUUAGCUAGUUGGUAAGGUAACGGCUUACCAAGGCAACGAUGCAUAGCCGACCUGAGAGGGUGAUCGGCCACACUGGAACUGAGACACGGUCCAGACUCCUACGGGAGGCAGCAGUAGGGAAUCUUCCGCAAUGGGCGAAAGCCUGACGGAGCAACGCCGCGUGAGUGAUGAAGGUCUUCGGAUCGUAAAACUCUGUUAUUAGGGAAGAACAUAUGUGUAAGUAACUGUGCACAUCUUGACGGUACCUAAUCAGAAAGCCACGGCUACACUACGUGCCAGCAGCCGCGGUAAUACGUAGGUGGCAAGCGUUAUCCGGAAUUAUUGGGCGUAAAGCGCGCGUAGGCGGUUUUUUAAAGUCUGAUGUGAAAGCCCACGGCUCAACCGUGGAGGGUCAUUGGAAACUGGAAAACUUGAGUGCAGAAGAGGAAAGUGGAAUUCCAUGUGUACGGUGAAAUGCGCAGAGAUAUGGAGGAACACCAGUGGCGAAGGCGACUUUCUGGUCUGUAACUGACGCUGAUGUGCGAAAGCGUGGGGAUCAAACAGGAUUAGAUACCCUGGUAGUCCACGUCGUAAACGAUGAGUGCUAAGUGUUAGGGGGUUUCCGCCCCUUAGUGCUGCAGCUAACGCAUUAAGCACUCCGCCUGGGGAGUACGACCGCAAGGUUG
rnacentral:rRNA from 1 species